AGACCCAGCGAAAUGUAAACAAACGCACCAGUCAGACUUGAUAUAGGAGUGAAUUUGUUGCUUUUUAAAGCGGCAGUCGGUCUGUACAUGUGUGAGGUGGCGAGGGGUGUCGCCAGGGGGCGGCUAGUAGCGUCUGCCACCAGGGAAAUAUGUAAAAACAUAAAAAAGACGCUUCUCAAGAAAGAGAGGGGCAGUCGGUCUGUACAUGCGUGAGGUGGCGAGAGGCGUGUCCAGGGGGCGGCUAGUAGCGUGUGCCACCGUGGAAAUAUGUACAGACAUAAAGAAGACGCCCUCAAGAAAGGCCUGAGUCCAGACCGAGACCCAGAGAAAUGUAAACAAACGCACCAGUCAGACUUGAUAUAGGAGUGAAUUUGUUGCUUUUUAUAGCGGCAGUCGGUCUGUACAUGUGUGAGGUGGCGAGGGGUGUCGCCAGGGGGCGGCUAGUAGCGUCUGCCACCAGGGAAAUAUGUAAAAACAUAAAAAAGACGCUUCUCA